rnacentral:rRNA from 1 species
GGAAUAUUGGACAAUGGGGGAGACCCUGAUCCAGCAACGCCGCGUGGAGGAUGAAGGCCCUCGGGUUGUAAACUCCUGUCAGGUGGAGCGAAAAGCGCCGGUAAAUAGCCGGUGUCUAUGACGGUACCACCAGAGGACGCCCCGGCCAACCCCGUGCCCGCAGCCGCGGUAAUACGGAGGGGGCAAGCGUUAUGCGGAAUUAUUGGGCGUAAAGGGCGCGUAGGCGGCUGUGCAAGGCAGGGGUGAAAUCCCUCGGCUCAACCGAGGAACUGCCUCUGAAACUGCACGGCUUGAGACCGGGAGAGGGUGGUGGAAUUCCUAGUGUAGCGGUGAAAUGCGUAGAUAUUAGGAGGAACACCAGUGGCGAAGGCGACCACCUGGACCGGAUCUGACGCUGAGGCGCGAAAGUGUGGGGAGCAAA